rnacentral:sRNA from 1 species
AUUCAUUGAAGAUGCGGUGGGUAGAGUGAUUUUGAUCCGCAAAUCUCCUCACCGAAGCGGGAUGGCGAUAAGACCAAAACACAAAUCUAUCCAUGCAAGCUUUUACCGUCAGUUCACUGGCGGUUUUUUUUCAUCUGCAAUACUGAAAUGAACAAAAGCCCCUUACGUCUUCACGUAAGGGGCUUUCACUGCGGGGGAUUAUCGCCGUUCAUUAGUCA